rnacentral:rRNA from 1 species
AUUGAACGCUGGCGGCAUGCUUUACACAUGCAAGUCGAACGGUAACAGCACUUCGGUGGCUGACGAGUGGCGGACGGGUGAGUAAUACAUCGGAACGUGCCUAGUAGUGGGGGAUAACUACUCGAAAGUGUAGCUAAUACCGCAUGAGAGCUAAGGAUGAAAGCAGGGGACCUUCGUGCCUUGCGCUACUAUUGCGGCUGAUGGCAGAUUAGGUAGUUGGUGGGAUAAAAGCUUACCAAGGCGACGAUCUGUAGCUGGUCUGAGAGGACGACCAGCCACACUGGGACUGAGACACGGCCCAGACUCCUACGGGAGGCAGCAGUGGGGAAUUUUGGACAAUGGGCGAAAGCCUGAUCCAGCAAUGCCGCGUGCAGGAUGAAGGUCUUCGGGUUGUAAACUGCUUUUGUAAGGAACGAAAAGCCGUCUACUAAUACAGGAGGGUCAUGACGGUACCGUAAGAAUAAGCACCGGCUAACUACGUG